rnacentral:rRNA from 1 species
ACCAGACUCCUACGGGAGGCAGCAGUGGGGAAUAUUGCGCAAUGGGCGAAACCCUGAUGCAGCGACGCCGCGUGGGUGAAGGAGUGCUUCGGCAUGUAAAGCCCUAUCGGCAGGGAAGAAGCAAGACGGUACCUGACUAAGAAGCCCCGGCUAACUACGUGCCAGCAGCCGCGGUAAUACGUAGGGGGCGAGCGUUAUCCGGAUUCACUGGGUGUAAAGGGAGCGUAGACGGCCAUGCAAGCCAGGGGUGAAAGCCCGGGGCCCAACCCCGGGACUGCCCUUGGAACUGCAUGGCUGGAGUGCGGGAGGGGCAGGCGGAAUUCCUGGUGUAGCGGUGAAAUGCGUAGAUAUCAGGAGGAACACCGGCGGCGAAGGCGGCCUGCUGGACCGCGACUGACGUUGAGGCUCGAAAGCGUGGGGAGCGAACAGGAUUAGAUACCCCGGUAU